GACGAACGCUGGCGGCGUGCCUAAUACAUGCAAGUAGAACGCUGAAGGAGGAGCUUGCUUCUCUGGAUGAGUUGCGAACGGGUGAGUAGCGCGUAGGUAACCUGCCUGGUAGCGGGGGAUAACUAUUGGAAACGAUAGCUAAUACCGCAUAAGAGUAGAUGUUGCAUGACAUUUGCUUAAAAGGUGCAAUUGCAUCACUACCAGAUGGACCUGCGUUGUAUUAGCUAGUUGGUGGGGUAACGGCUCACCAAGGCGACGAUACAUAGCCGACCUGAGAGGGUGAUCGGCCACACUGGGACUGAGACACGGCCCAGACUCCUACGGGAGGCAGCAGUAGGGAAUCUUCGGCAAUGGACGGAAGUCUGACCGAGCAACGCCGCGUGAGUGAAGAAGGGUUUCGGAUCGUAAAGCUCUGUUGUAAGAGAAGAACGAGUGUGAGAGUGGAAAGUUCACAAUGUGACGGUAUCUUACCAGAAAGGGACGGCUAACUACGUG
rnacentral:rRNA from 1 species